AUGGUGGAUAGAGGCCUACCAUGGUUUUAACGGGUAACGGGGAAUUAGGGUUCGAUUCCGGAGAGGGAGCCUGAGAAACGGCUACCACAUCCAAGGAAGGCAGCAGGCGCGCAAAUUACCCAAUCCCGACACGGGGAGGUAGUGACAAUAAAUAACAAUACGGGGCUCAUUUGGGUCUCGUAAUUGGAAUGAGUACAAUUUAAAUCUCUUAACGAGGAACAAUUGGAGGGCAAGUCUGGUGCCAGCAGCCGCGGUAAUUCCAGCUCCAAUAGCGUAUAUUAAAGUUGUUGCAGUUAAAAAGCUCGUAGUUGAACUUCGGGGUUUACCCAUUGGUCAGGCUUAAUUGUCUGUACUGGUGAGAUAAAUCUCUACCUUCUGAGGAACUUUCAUGUCAUUAAUUUGGUGUGAUUGGAGAUCAGGACUGUUACUUUGAAAAAAUUAGAGUGUUUAAAGCAGGCUAACGUCUGAAUACAUUAGCAUGGAAUAAUGAAAUAGGACGGAUUGAUUCUAUUUCGUUGGUUCCUAGGAUCACCGUAAUGAUUAAUAGGGAUAGUUGGGGGCAUUAGUAUUCAAUUGUCAGAGGUGAAAUCCUUGGAUUUAUUGAAGACUAACUACUGCGAAAGCAUUUGCCAAGGAUGUUUUCAUUAAUCAAGAACGAAAGUUAGGGGAUCGAAGACGAUCAGAUACCGUCGUAGUCUUAACCAUAAACUAUGCCGACUAGGGAUCGGACGAAGUUAAUUUUAUAAUGACGCGUUCGGCACCUUACGGGAAACCAAAGUGUUUGGGUUC
rnacentral:rRNA from 1 species